GCCAUCAUUUAAAGAAAGCGUAAUAGCUCACUGGUCGAGUCGGCCUGCGCGGAAGAUGUAACGGGGCUAAACCAUGCACCGAAGCUGCGGCAGCGACACGUUUGUGUUGUUGGGUAGGGGAGCGUUCUGUAAGCCGUUGAAGGUUGGUCGUGAGGCUGGCUGGAGGUAUCAGAAGUGCGAAUGCUGACAUAAGUAACGAUAAAGCGGGUGAAAAACCCGCUCGCCGGAAGACCAAGGGUUCCUGUCCAACGUUAAUCGGGGCAGGGUGAGUCGACCCCUAAGGCGAGGCUGAAAAGCGUAGUCGAUGGGAAACAGGUGAAUAUUCCUGUACUCGGUGUUACUGCGAAGGGGGGACGGAGAAGGCUAUGUCAUCCGGGCGACGGUCGUCCCGGUUUAAGCGUGUAGGUGGGCAGUCUUGGUAAAUCCGGAUUGCUGAUAACACUGAGGCGUGACGACGAGGCACUACGGUGCUGAAGUGACAGAUGCCCUGCUUCCAGGAAAAGCCUCUAAGCACCAGGUAACAUUGAAUCGUACCCCAAACCGACACAGGUGGUCAGGUAGAGAAUACUCAGGCGCUUGAGAGAACUCGGGUGAAGGAACUAGGCAAAAUGGUGCCGUAACUUCGGGAGAAGGCACGCCGGCACUAGGUGAAGUGACUUGCUCACGGAGCCGAAGCCGGCCGCAGAUACCAGCUGGCUGCAACUGUUUAAUAAAAACACAGCACUGUGCAAACACGAAAGUGGACGUAUACGGUGUGACGCCUGCCCGGUGCUGGAAGGUUAAUUGAUGGGGUUAGCCGCAAGGCGACGCUCUUGAUCGAAGCCCCAGUAAACGGCGGC
rnacentral:rRNA from 1 species